GACGAACGCUGGCGGCGUGCUUAACACAUGCAAGUCGAACGGAAAGGCCCUGCUUUUGUGGGGUGCUCGAGUGGCGAACGGGUGAGUAACACGUGAGUAACCUGCCCUUGACUUUGGGAUAACUUCAGGAAACUGGGGCUAAUACCGGAUAGGAGCUCCUGCUGCAUGGUGGGGGUUGGAAAGUUUCGGCGGUUGGGGAUGGACUCGCGGCUUAUCAGCUUGUUGGUGGGGUAGUGGCUUACCAAGGCUUUGACGGGUAGCCGGCCUGAGCGGGUGACCGGCCACAUUGGGCCUGAGAUACGGCACAGACUCCUACGGGAGGCAGCAGUGGGGAAUAUUGCACAAUGGGCGGAAGCCUGAUGCAGCAACGCCGCGUGCGGGAUGACGGCCUUCGGGUUGUAAACCGAUUUCGCCUGUGACGAAGCGUGAGUGACGGUAAUGGGUAAAGAAGCACCGGCUAACUACGUG
rnacentral:rRNA from 1 species